CGUAUAUAAAAGUGGGGGACGGGGAGCAUCUCGUUUUUGCUUUCUUUAUUUUACUUUUGUUUAUAGUCAUUAUUAAACCCUCGGGCAUCGAUGUUCAUCAUCGACGUUUUCCUUCCCUCUCUCCAUCUCUCGUCAAUCUUUCUGCAACUUCGCUCCUGCAACGAUUUUUCUCAUCUCUUGGCUUACUACAGAUGGAAUUCGAACAAAGACUUCGACGAUGGAUUCUAAAUCAUAAUGUCUUCUAUUGCAAGGU